UUCUGUUUUGUGUCUGCACCAGACAGGACUGUUUGUUUUUGUUCUAGGCCACAGAUAGGAUGCUUUGCUCACGUUAUUAAUCUAGCAUCUCGAAAAGCAACGUCGGUGAGUACAAUCUCUCGCCUCCUAGCAAAAGAUCAGGAAGGUGGCAUCCUUCUUUCAUAAAAGCACAACUGCUGCACAUGUUUUCAAGACAAAACAGGAGAUGCUGAAGCUACCAAACCACAAACUAAUCCAAGAUGUCCCUACUAGAUGGAAUUCAAGCCAUGACAUGGUUGAGAUACCUUGAGCAGAAAGUUGCAGUGUAUUCUACACUGACUGAUCAAGCUGUGAGGAAGAAUGUUAAAUAUAUUGUGACUUAAACCUCUCGAAACAGUUACAACUCUGAUAUGCACUGAGAUCAUUCCAUCAGUUUCCAUGGUCCUGCCUAUGAAAACAAUGAUCCUGAAAUCAAUGGUGGCAUCUGAUGAAGAUGAACCCGCAGUAAGGGAUGUCAAGACUGCUAUCAGAGUUAACCUGGAGCCUAGAUAUGCUGACCCUGGUGUCCAAGACUUCUUGCACAAGAGCACCGCUUUGGACCCCCGGUUCAAGUCUCUGCUGCACCUGGAUGCUGCUGCUCAUCUGAGAGUCUACAAUGAACUCACAGCAGAGAUUGUGACCAAUAUACAACAGGGUCAAGCCACAGAUACCACAGGAGCCAACCCCUCUCCAGAGACAGCAGGGGUUCUCUUCCAGAAAAUAAGUCUGACAUGGCUGAACUUUUGGGGGAAGUUGUUCACGACCCAGGAGCAGGGAACUGUUGAUGGAAUUUAUAGGUUUAAAUUAAUGAUUAGAAUACUCCACCCUGAAACCAUAUAAUUGUAUGAAAUUGAUUAGAAUCAUAAUUAAUUCAUGAUGGGUGUGGUUUUAGUCAGUAGAAUUAUAUAUCUGUGAGUGUAGUUUUUAGUCAGAAUUAGGGUAUAACAAUAUAUCUGUACAAUAUGUCUAUAGUAUCUUAAAAACAGACUGUUUGAGCAAGAUUCGGUGCCGACCUUGGCUGGGGGCCACAGAGUACUUCCCAGGGUCUCCCUAUCGUGAGGGAGGACGGGGAGUGAUUCUCACGGACUCCCCUAAUCUUUGUCGGCUGGGUAGCAGGACAGUGUGUGCAUAGGAUAUCUAAUGUUUGUGUGCAAAUGUAUGUGCGUAUGAAUUCUGUUUGAUUGCAAGAGUAUGUGUGUAAGGAGCUAGUAUAAAAUGAAUGGUUUUGUACAACUAACCAGCGUGCCCGUGAAUAAACCUUAUUGACUAUUUUA